rnacentral:rRNA from 2 species
CUACACAUGCAAGUCGAGCGAGAUGGUAGUCGNGAGCUUGCUCCAUGAUUCAGCGGCGGACGGGUGAGUAAUGCCUAGGAAUCUGCCUGGUAGUGGGGGACAACGUUUCGAAAGGAACGCUAAUACCGCAUACGUCCUACGGGAGAAAGUGGGGGAUCUUCGGACCUCACGCUAUCAGAUGAGCCUAGGUCGGAUUAGCUAGUUGGUGAGGUAAAGGCUCACCAAGGCGACGAUCCGUAACUGGUCUGAGAGGAUGAUCAGUCACACUGGAACUGAGACACGGUCCAGACUCCUACGGGAGGCAGCAGUGGGGAAUAUUGGACAAUGGGCGAAAGCCUGAUCCAGCCAUGCCGCGUGUGUGAAGAAGGUCUUCGGAUUGUAAAGCACUUUAAGUUGGGAGGAAGGGCAGUAAGUUAAUACCUUGCUGUUUUGACGUUACCAACAGAAUAAGCACCGGCUAACUUCGUGCCAGCAGCCGCGGUAAUACGAAGGGUGCAAGCGUUAAUCGGAAUUACUGGGCGUAAAGCGCGCGUAGGUGGUUCGUUAAGUUGGAUGUGAAAGCCCCGGGCUCAACCUGGGAACUGCAUCCAAAACUGGCGAGCUAGAGUAUGGCAGAGGGUGGUGGAAUUUCCUGUGUAGCGGUGAAAUGCGUAGAUAUAGGAAGGAACACCAGUGGCGAAGGCGACCACCUGGGCUAAUACUGACACUGAGGUGCGAAAGCGUGGGGAGCAAACAGGAUUAGAUACCCUGGUAGUCCACGCCGUAAACGAUGUCGACUAGCCGUUGGGAUCCUUGAGAUCUUAGUGGCGCAGCUAACGCAUUAAGUCGACCGCCUGGGGAGUACGGCCGCAAGGUUAAAACUCAAAUGAAUUGACGGGGGCCCGCACAAGCGGUGGAGCAUGUGGGUUUAAUUCGAAGCAACGCGAAGAACCUUACCAGCCUUGACAUGCAGAGAACUUUCCAGAGAUGGAUUGGGUGCCUUCGGGAACUUCUGACACAGGUGCUGCAUGGCUGUCGUCAGCUCGUGUCGUG